rnacentral:lncRNA from 1 species
UUAUAUUUUUCUUGCGCGCAAACGACAGUCGCGCGCAGUCAUAUUCGUCUCGCUCUUCCGUUCUCUGCUCCGUUAAUAUAUAUUCCGAUACUUCGAAAAUUCAUUUUUAUCACAACUCUUUAAAUCGUUCGUCCUCACAAUGAGGUUGACAGUGGUCAUAGGUCUACUGUCACUCUGCAGUUUUCUUUAAUUUGGUUUAUCCGAGAGAAUAUUCUUGAACAUGUUGGGAAUGAUAACGGAGAGCGGGUUAUCCCGCAGAAGCUCAUGUUAUAACGACGGAGGAUGGCUAUCUCUUGUCGUGACAUCGUAUCCCAGGUGGCAACAAUUCUCGACCCGUACUGAUGCUGCAUGCUUUCUUAUGCACCUCCGCCGAUUGGGUCCUCCUUGGCAAGGACAAAGCACUCGCUUAAUCAAUUAGGGGAUCAGGGAUACGAUGUUUGGUUAGGCAAUUAUCGUGGUAAUACUUAUUCGAGGACGCAUAUUUUCUUAUCUCCGUCGGAUUUAAAAUUUUGGGAUUUCAGCUUUCAUGAAUUGGGCAUGUAUGAUUUACCUGCAAUGAUUACAUUUAUCACAAAUAUGACAUCUCAGCCAUUGCACGCGUACAUUGGUCAUUCGAUGAGCGCAACUGGUUUUUAUAAUGGCAUCAGAACGUCCAGAAAUGGUUCAAAUGGUGAAAAUGAUGAUCAAUUUCGCCCCAGGAGUCUUUAUAAAUAAUGUGAAAAGCCCGAUAUUAAACUAUAUUGCACCUUUCUGGAGAAAAAUAAAGAUGAUAGUGCGACUUUUUUUUCACGACGAAUUCCUGCCACAGAGCAAUUUCUUGAGAUUUCUUGUGAAAUACGCUUGCGACCAGAAUCUCGCAGAGCGAAAAUUAUGCGCCGACUUCAUAUUUGCGGUCUGCGGUUUCGACCGCGAGCAAUUUGACUACGAUGUCAAAAGGCUUUACCGCAUAUUGCCGAAUGUAGUGGACAUAUACGAAGUACCGUUGCCCAAAUUUAAUCACGUGGAUUUUGUAUGGGCCAAGGAUGCGCCCAAACUCGUGUACGAGAGAGCACUCAAACUUAUAAAUGCGGAAAAUCCAAAUAAUAUUACGUUGGUAUAAGGUUAUUUUGAUAAUCAAAAUAAAUGAUGAAUAUUGCAUACUAUAUCUUUAGUAAUUUUAAUAUGAUCGAUAGCAGUC